UUAUUUCUCCCUCCGUCCGGAAUUACUUGUCGCACAAAUGUAUAAAAAUGGAUGUAUUUAGAACUAAAAUACAUCUAGAUACAUUCAUUCCUGUGACAAGUAUUUCCGAACGGAGGGAGUAGUAG
rfam:Hordeum vulgare subsp. vulgare, WGS project CAJW01000000 data, contig: morex_contig_100376